GGCUUGAUAGCUCAACUGAUCAAGCACUGCACUGGUAUCGCAGAUGUCAUGGGUUUGAAACCCAUUCAAGCCU
rnacentral:tRNA from 1 species